rnacentral:rRNA from 1 species
AUUGAACGCUGGCGGCAGGCCUAACACAUGCAAGUCGAACGAGUGGCGGACGGGUGUGUAAUGUCUGGGAAACUGCCUGAUGGAGGGGGAUAACUACUGGAAACGGUACCUAAUACCGCAUACCAUCAGAUGUGCCCCGAUGGGAUUAGCUUUUGGGUGGGGUAACGGCUCACCACGGCGACGAUCCCUAGCUGGUCUGAGAGGAUGACGAGCCAAACUGGAACUGAGACACGGUCCAGACUCCUACGGGAGGCAGAAGUGGGAAAUAUUGCAAAAUGGGCGAAAGCCGGAUGCAGCCAGGCGGCGUGUGUGAAGAAGGCCUUCGGGUUGUAAAGUACUUUCAGCGAGGAGGCGUUACCCGAAGAAGAAGCACCGGCUAACUCCGUGCCAGCAGCCGCGGUAAUAC